rnacentral:rRNA from 1 species
ACGCCUAACACAUGCAAGUCGAACGAAGUAGCAAUACUUAGUGGCAGACGGGUGAGUAACAUGUGGGUAUCUACCCUUUGGCCUGGAAUAACACGAGGAAACUUGUGCUAAUACCGGAUAAGUCUUUACGGAGAAAGCUUUAUGCACCAUUGGAUGAGCCCGCACUUGAUUAGUUUGUUGGUAGGGUAAUGGCCUACCAAGACUAUGAUCAAUAGCUGAUUUGAGAGGAUGAUCAGCCACAUUGGGACUGAGACACGGCCCAAACUCCUACGGGAGGCAGCAGUGGGGAAUCUUGCACAAUGGAGGAAACUCUGAUGCAGCGAUGCCGCGUGAGUGAAGAAGGCCUUUGGGUUGUAAAGCUCUUUCGUCGGGGAAGAAAAUGACUGUACCCGAAUAAGAAGGUCCGGCUAACUUCGUGCCAGCAGCCGCGGUAAUACGAAGGGACCUAGCGUAGUUCGGAAUUACUGGGCUUAAAGAGUUCGUAGGUGGUUGAAAAAGUUGGUGGUGAAAUCCCAGAGCUUAACUCUGGAACUGCCAUCAAAACUUUUCAGCUAGAGUAUGAUAGAGGAAAGCAGAAUUUCUAGUGUAGAGGUGAAAUUCGUAGAUAUUAGAAAGAAUACCAAUUGCGAAGGCAGCUUUCUGGAUCAUUACUGAC